rnacentral:piRNA from 1 species
UCAGUGGUGAAGCUGCUGGAGGAAAGGC